rnacentral:ncRNA from 2 species
AAUCGAAUCGGCGAUGACGUUCGCCACAAAAUUAUAAUUUAAUUGAUGACGUCUACCACAAG